rfam:Aedes albopictus isolate Foshan contig71379, whole genome shotgun sequence.
UGUUCUGUGGCGGAGUUGGUUAACGCGCCCUGUCUAGCGAACUUGGGGAGACGUGGGUUCAAACCCCAUCCUGAACUA